rnacentral:rRNA from 1 species
UGGGGAAUCUUGGACAAUGGGCGCAAGCCUGAUCCAGCCAUGCCGCGUGAGUGAUGAAGGCCUUAGGGUUGUAAAGCUCUUUUUGCCGGGGACGAUAAUGACGGUACCCGGAGAAUAAGUCCCGGCUAACUUCGUGCCAGCAGCCGCGGUAAUACGAAGGGGACUAGCGUUGUUCGGAAUCACUGGGCGUAAAGCGCACGUAGGCGGAUUUGUAAGUCAGGGGUGAAAUCCCGGGGCUCAACCUCGGAACUGCCUUUGAUACUGCAAAUCUCGAGUCCGAUAGAGGUGAGUGGAAUUCCUAGUGUAGAGGUGAAAUUCGUAGAUAUUAGGAAGAACACCAGUGGCGAAGGCGGCUCACUGGAUCGGUACUGACGCUGAGGUGCGAAAGCGUGGGGAGCAAACAGGAUUAGAUACCCCCGUAGUCCCUGAGCGGGCUGGCAAGGCGCAU